rnacentral:rRNA from 1 species
AUUCCAGCUCCAAUAGCGUAUAUUUAAGUUGUUGCAGUUAAAAAGCUCGUAGUUGGAUUUCGGAUGGGAUUUGCCGGUCCGUCUUUGAGAUGUGUACUGGUAAGUCCUAUCUUGUUGUCGGGGACUAGCUCCUGGGCUUCACUGUCCGGGACUAGGAGCCGACGAAGUUACUUUGAGUAAAUUAGAGUGUUCAAAGCAAGCCUACGCUCUGAAUAUAUUAGCAUGGAAUAACACGAUAGGACUCUGGCUUAUCUUGUUGGUCUGUGAGACCAGAGUAAUGAUUAAGAGGGACAGUCGGGGACAUUCGUAUUUCAUUGUCAGAGGUGAAGUUCUUGGAUUUAUGGAAGACGAACUACUGCGAAAGCAUUUACCAAGGACGUUUUCAUUA